rnacentral:rRNA from 1 species
ACCCGCUGAACUUAAGCAUAUCAAUAAGCGGAGGAAAAGAAACCAACAGGGAUUGCCCUAGUAACGGCGAGUGAAGCGGCAACAGCUCAAAUUUGAAAUCUGGCCUUCUGGUCCGAAUUGUAAUUUGUAGAGGAUGAUUUUGGUGCGGUACUUUCCGAGUUCCCUGGAACGGGACGCCUUAGAGGGUGAGAGCCCCGUACGGUUGGAUGCCUAGCCUCUGUAAAUCUCCUUCGACGAGUCGAGUAGUUUGGGAAUGCUGCUCUAAAUGGGAGGUAAAUUUCUUCUAAAGCUAAAUACUAGCCAGAGACCGAUAGCGCACAAGUAGAGUGAUCGAAAGAUGAAAAGCACUUUGAAAAGAGGGUUAAACAGCACGUGAAAUUGUUGAAAGGGAAGCGCUUAUGACCAGACUUUUUCUAGGCGGAUCAUCCGGUGUUCUCACCGGUGCACUUCGUCUAGUUUAGGCCAGCAUCGGUUUCUAUAGGGAGAUAAAAGCUUCAGGAAUGUGACUCCUCCGGGAGUGUUAUAGCCUGUUGUAUAAUAUCCUUACGGGGACCGAGGUACGCGCUCUGCAAGGAUGCUGGCAUAAUGGUCAUCAGCGACCCGUCUUGAAACACGGACCAAGGAGUCGAACAUUUGUGCGAGUGUUUGGGUGUUAAACCCUCACGCGUAAUGAAAGUGAACGGAGGUGAGAGCCUUUUAGGUGCAUCAUCGACCGAUCCUGAUGUCUUCGGAUGGAUUUGAGUAGGAGCAUAACUGUUCGGACCCGAAAGAUGGUGAACUAUGCGUGGAUAGGGUGAAGCCAGAGGAAACUCUGGUGGAGGCUCGCAGCGGUUCUGACGUGCAAAUCGAUCGUCAAA